AAAGACCGCACUGUGGCCGUUGUAAUACACCAGCCCACAAUACUUAAAGGGCAACAUCAAGCCAUUGACUUAGGCUAAUUUAAAUGUUAAAGACUAAGCCCUUUAUUCGUAUGCUACUCUGUUCAACUGCGAUGCGUACGGAGCACUCAAGAGAUGUCCUUUGUCUUCCUAAUUUAGCUUUUAAAAUGGUGAGCUAUCAGUUACUACAACAAGGUCCUAUUACUUUUACAUAACAUUAUUCAAAUGUUAAAUUAUGCACACUACAAGAGCACUAACCAGUAUAGUCCAAUUAGUUUUUAUUUAUUAAUUAAUUUUUUUACAUAUAUCCCAUUGUUACCGAAUAUUUGACUGUUUACUUUGUUCCUUUCGUGCGUUGCUAUUCAGUGACAGUUAUCGCCGCAUUGAUAACAGUUUUCAGCCAUUCAGCCAAAAAAAAAAAAGAGCUAAAAUUCUAGUGUAAUACCGACUCUGGUAUCUAGGUGGCGGUGAUGUGCAAAGAGCAUCAGAAGCUCGACGGCAGAACAAAAAUUGUAGCACAGCAAAAGGCAGGCUCACUCCACACUGUUGUACAGGUAAGUACAAGCUUCUCAAAGGAAAGACAUGCGCCAGAUUUAAAGGACUAUUUGAAAAUCGAGGGAAUCAGAAGGCUGUGCGUGGUUAUUCCAUAAGCAGGCGCCGCCUCUGGUCUUUUGCGAUCGGCGAACAAAAAAAGAGCGCAAGGCUCUCGCACAGCUGUGUACCAACAGAGCUAAACCAAUUCGCACGCCGAGACUAAAACACACAGGGGCUCCUCCCCGCCCAGCAGGGUCCGUCCACUCGCUGUACAGACCGGCAGGAAGAGCCCGGCCGCACCGCACAGCCGAGCCGAACUGACCUUUUACGAUCGCGGUCUCAUCGCCUAAUGACCCACAUCCUGAGCAACCGCCAUAAACAGACUCCCAUGUUUGUGCCACGGAGGAGAGACAGACACGCCCGAUGGGGGAAAAAAAAAAGACCCAUUGUUGCGUAAAAUACUUUCCUGGGAUGUUUUUGACAAUUGAACCGAUUCCAAUCAGCGGCGGGAGGCAAGUGUUUUAGCACUUGUGCAAAAAAAAAAAAAAAAAAAAAAAAAAAAGGGGGGGGGGUUGAACAAUUUGUUCUCAUUUCACAAUCUUCUGUAAUCCCAGAAUUUGGGUAGCUGUGUAUAGCUCAGAUGUUGAUCUGAGCUAUCUGCCGUGUUUAACCCAAAACAGUGCACAUUGUGUAAAUGCUUGUGUAAUGCAGUCUGAUUACUGCCUGUCUGGGGGGACAGUUUACUCGAAGCCAAGA